rnacentral:rRNA from 1 species
GACGAACGCUGGCGGCGUGCUUAACACAUGCAAGUCGAACGGAAAGGCCCUGCUUUUGUGGGGUGCUCGAGUGGCGAACGGGUGAGUAACACGUGAGUAACCUGCCCUUGACUUUGGGAUAACUUCAGGAAACUGGGGCUAAUACCGGAUAGGAGCUCCUGCUGCAUGGUGGGGGUUGGAAAGUUUCGGCGGUUGGGGAUGGACUCGCGGCUUAUCAGCUUGUUGGUGGGGUAGUGGCUUACCAAGGCUUUGACGGGUAGCCGGCCUGAGAGGGUGACCGGCCACAUUGGGACUGAGAUACGGCCCAGACUCCUACGGGAGGAAGCAGUGGGGAAUAUUGCACAAUGGGCGAAAGCCUGAUGCAGCAACGCCGCGUGCGGGAUGACGGCCUUCGGGUUGUAAACCGCUUUCGCCUGUGACGAAGCGUGAGUGACGGUAAUGGGUAAAGAAGCACCGGCUAACUACGUG